rnacentral:rRNA from 1 species
UACGUAGGGUGCAAGCGUUUGUCCGGAAUUAUUGGGCGUAAAGAGCUCGUAGGCGGUCUGUCACGGUCGCUGUGAAAACCCGGGGCUCAACCCCGGGCCUGCAGUCGAUACGGGCAGACUAGAGUGCGGUAGGGGAGACUGGAAUUCCUGGUGUAGCGGUGAAAUGCGCAGAUAUCAGGAGGAACACCGGUGGCGAAGGCGGGUCUCUGGGCCGUAACUGACGCUGAGGAGCGAAAGCGUGGGGAGCGAACAGG